rnacentral:rRNA from 1 species
AUACGUAGGGGGCAAGCGUUGUCCGGAAUUAUUGGGCGUAAAGCGCGCGCAGGCGGUCUCUUAAGUCUGAUGUGAAAGCCCACGGCUCAACCGUGGAGGGUCAUUGGAAACUGGGGGACUUGAGUGUAGGAGAGGAAAGUGGAAUUCCACGUGUAGCGGUGAAAUGCGUAGAGAUGUGGAGGAACACCAGUGGCGAAGGCGACUUUCUGGCCUAUAACUGACGCUGAGGCGCGAAAGCGUGGGGAGCAAACAGGAUUAGAUACCCUGGUAGUCCACGCCGUAAACGAUGAGUGCUAGGUGUUAGAGGGGUUAAACCCUUUAGUGCUGUAGCUAACGCGUUAAGCACUCCGCCUGGGGAGUACGGCCGCAAGGCUGAA